GAAAAGCAGCAUCAUUGAAGGUGAAAAUCCUGUAGAUGAUAUGGACUACCAGUGCAUUUGUGAUGCGAUUUCUAAGAGUCGAGUUGUUUGGGAAUGCAGCUCAAAGUGGGUGGUAAAUUCCAUCUAAGGCUAAAUAUAAGUGAGAGACCGAUAGCAUACAAGUACCGUGAGGGAAAGAUGAAAAGAACUUUGAAAAUAGAGUUAACAGUACGUGAAAUUGCUGAAAGGGAAACGUUUGAAGUUAGUUUUGUAUUCGUUGGAUCAGCUUCGCAAGGAGUGUAUUCUGAUGAUAAGCAAGUCAACAUCAAUCUUUGAGUGUUGGAUAAGGGUUUUGAGGACGUAGCAAUUUAAUUGUGUUAUAACUUGAGACUUGGAUACAAUGCUUGGGAUUGAGGAACGCGUAGUAAGCUUUGAGCGGGCCAGAAAUGGUCUCCUUACUAUGGAUGUUGGUGAAAUAACUUUAAGCGACCCGUCUUGAAACACGGACCAAGGAGUCUAACAUGCAUGCGAGUAUUAGGGUGUUGAAACCCGAAUGCGUAAUGAAAGUGAAUUUCAAAUGUGAUCCGCAAGGUGCAACAUUGACCGGUCCUGAUUAUUUAUAUGACGGUACUGAGUAAGAGCAUGUAUGUUAGGACCCGAAAGAUGGUGAACUAUGCCUGGAUAGGGUGAAGUCAGAGGAAACUCUGAUGGAAGCUCGUAGCGGUUCUGACGUGCAAAUCGAUCGUUGAAUCUGGGUA
rnacentral:rRNA from 1 species